GUCCGGGACAGGCGCCGGAGGGAGCGCCGGCUGCCCCCAGAAACACGCUCCAGAUGCGGGAGGCGCUGCCAGCAUUCCUGGAAGGGCCUGUGGCUUUCCAUCUCCCACCCUGCGACGGCGGGGAAGUUAGACUGGCCGGCCCGGGGCCUGUGAGCCUGGCACCCCCUAAACCAGGGCCGAGGGUCAGCCAAGCACGGGCACUGGCGGCUGUCAGAGAAGAGCCACAGAGCGACACCCACCAGUGGUCAGAAUUGGGAGUCUCCGGAGGCUGGUGCCAUGACACUCCAUGUCAACCUAGAACUGCCGAUGGCCAUCAUGGACAGCAUGUGCGGAGAACACUGAAGAAUGACUCCCACACUGCCCUGCCCUUGCCUGCCAGAGGAUGUGCCUCCAGUUGGAGGGGCAAUUCCAAAACACAGACAGUAAGGAAGGCCACCCAGCCCAGACACUCAGUGCCAGCACCGGGUCAACAGAGGCCAGACAAGGCCCCUGUCGCACUUAGUGUCCCUAUCUAUAAAAUAGAGACAGCGCCACCUACAGUGCAAAGCUGCUUGCAGGUCAGCGAGUGAGGAGGUGGUCUGGGCUGCCUACCCACUGGCCUUUCCUAACCCCUUCCCCUUUUCUGAUGGCACAGCUUGUCCCCAGAAAGUCUGAGAGGGUCAGAGAUUCAAGUUCUCAGUGCCCCUGCAAUUACAGAUGGGCAUGUGACCUAGCCCUGGACACGUGGACCCAAGUUUGCUAAAAUCUUCUGGAAAGCACUUUCCCCAAAGAAGAAAAAGCAAGAGAGCCCUCUACCCCUUCCUAUCCUGCUUUUGGAUGCUAUCAUGUAAGAAUGUGAUGCUUGGAGCUUUGGCAGCCAGUUUGCAACCAUGAAGAAAGUGCCCAGAGACUCACACUUGGAUUAACUUAGAUUUAAGGAAAAGGUCAUCCUUGUACACUUGGUGCUAGAGUUUACACUCUCACUCUUGAUUGUGGGAGGCAGUUUCAUAAAGCUGUUAAGAGCAUGAAUUCUGAAGCCAGCCUUCCUGGGUUCAAAUCUAAGCCCUGCUACUUGCUAGCUGUGUGACCUUAGACAAGUUACUUAACCUCUCUGUGCCUCUGUUCCCCUCUCAAUAAAAAAAGGAGUAAGAUUCAUGCAUGUUAAAUAACCUAAUACAAAUAAAAAUAUUUAACACAGUGCUUCUCACACAGAAAGUACCCAAUAGGCAUUGGUUUUAAUCGGCCAUCAGGUCUGAGAAUGUAGGGGUGAGAGUGGGCCAGGCUGGGGCUGGGGAAAGCCAGGCAGGCACAGAGGCCUAGGCCUGCAGGAGCUGAACAGGAGCUGUGAGCCCGCUCUUGGCCUUGGCACUGCAGAGGCUGCGCUGAC